UACGUAGGGAGCAAGCGUUGUCCGGAUUCACUGGGUGUAAAGGGUGCGCAGGCGGAUCGGUAAGUCAGAGGUGAAAUCUCACAGCUCAACUGUGAAACUGCCUUUGAUACUGCUGAUCUUGAGUAUGGGAGAGGGAUGUAGAAUUCCAGGUGUAGCGGUGAAAUGCGUAGAUAUCUGGAGGAACACCGGUGGCGAAGGCGGCAUCCUGGACCGGCAUUGACGCUGAGGAGCGAAAGCCAGGGGAGCAAACGGG
rnacentral:rRNA from 1 species